AAAUGCUUAUCUUUGACAGAUACGCGUAUUUCGACUACCACUUGCAGUCUUCUUCAGUGUCAGUUACUCGUAUCGUAGUGGUAGUCGAAAUACGCGUAUCUGUUAAAGAUAUGCAUUUA
rnacentral:pre_miRNA from 1 species